UAGCAAUUAUAAAUACACUUUUUGCACAGAACUUUGAGCUAGUAUUACAAUCAUUUGAUUAUGUACUUAACGUGAGAAAUAAGCCCAUGAGAACACAAAACACUAUUUGGUUUGAUAAAAAGGAUGGCAGGUACACAUUACUUUCUUCUCUUCGUUUUGUUUGUGUAUCAUAGGUGGUACGAGUUAUGCUCCUCAGGAAACUCAAAAAUUAUUAAAUAAAUUGUUACUGAGUUA